AUUGAACGCUGGCGGAAUGCUUUACACAUGCAAGUCGAACGGCAGCACGGACUUCGGUCUGGUGGCGAGUGGCGAACGGGUGAGUAAUGUAUCGGAACGUGCCCAGUCGUGGGGGAUAACGUAGUGAAAAUUACGCUAAUACCGCAUACGAUCUAUGGAUGAAAGCGGGGGAUCGCAAGACCUCGCGCGAUUGGUGCGGCCGAUAUCAGGUUAGUUAGUUGGUGGGGUAAAGGCCCACCAAGCCAACGAUCUGUAGCUGGUCUAAGAGGACGACCAGCCACACUGGAACUGAGACACGGUCCAGACUCCUACGGGAGGCAGCAGUGGGGAAUUUUGGACAAUGGGCGAAAGCCUGAUCCAGCCAUUCCGCGUGCAGGAUGAAGGCCCUCGGGUUGUAAACUGCUUUUGUACAGAACGAAAAGGUUUCUACUAAUACUAGGAGCUCAUGACGGUACUGUAAGAAUAAGCACCGGCUAACUACGUGCCAGCCGCCGCCGUAA
rnacentral:rRNA from 1 species